UUCUUAUCAAGAGCGACCGAGGGACUGGCCCGGUGACGUCGCGGCAACCCGCCUGAAAAGGUACGGUGCCAAUUCCAGCAAAGCCGCACAGCGGUUUUGACAGAUAAGGA
rnacentral:ncRNA from 15 species